CCACCAGGCCCAGCUAAUUUUUGUAUAUUAGUAGAGAUGGGGUUUCACCAUGUUGGCCAGGCUGGUCUCGAACUCCUGACCUCAAGUGAUCCGCUCACCAUGGCCUCCCAAAGUGCUAGGAUUACAUGUGUGAGCCACCAUGCCCAGCCCAAUUUACUCUUUAUACUAGAAUUGGCAGUAGAUGGGGCUGGUGGCUCACAUCUGUAAUCUCAUCACUUUGGGAGGCCAAGGCAGGAAGAUAGCUUGAGGCCAGGAGUGAAACCACUUUUGCAAGAUUAUAACAAUGAGAGGAGGCCAGGUGUGGUGGCUCAUGCCUGUAAUCCCAGCACUUUGGGAGGCCGAGCUGGGCAGAUCACAAGGUCAGGAGAUCGAGACCAUCCUGGCUAACAUAGUGAGACUCUGUCUUUGCUAAAACUACAAACAAAUUAGCCGGGCAUGGUGGCGGGUGCCUGUAGUCCCAGCUACUUGGGAGGCUAAGGCAGGAGAAUGGCGUGAACCCGGGAGGCGGAGCUUGCAGUGAGAUGAGAUUGCGCCACUACACUCCAGCUUGGGUGACAGAAAAACACACCCCUGGUGGAGAUUUAAGACGCUAAUGACACAUGCGACGUAUGAGCAAGCAGGUGCAGCUACUGCGUGUGUGUACCCAGAGGACCCCCCCCCCCAACAUGCUUCCUAGCAACGCCUCUGCCCACCCGCUGAUUCUCUCGGCACCUUGGGAACCACCUCCUCUACUCUCACUGAACACCCCUGGGAUGUAUCUUUAAAAAUUGGAACACCUUUUGGCUAGGUACAAUAGGGACUCGCCCAGCUGGAGCUGCUCGCACUGGGACUUCACACCACCCAGGGCCAGAGAAACUGCUCCCCUUAUGGGAGAUCCCAAAUGGAGAGGGGACCAUUAUGGCACAUGUCCCAUAAAUGAUCUAAUUUAUAGACUCACAUCAAUAAAUGAUCUAAUCCAAUGGAAGCAAAAAUCAAAAA